rnacentral:lncRNA from 1 species
AGAGACACAACAAUCAAAGGGAGAAUUGGAAAUAGAAGCUGCAGGAGAUAAAGGAAAUACUGCAAAGAAUGAAAAUCAGAUCUUGAGAGAAAUUCAAUAUUCACAGCUACCAACAAAACUAGGAUUUCAACCUAACCUUCACUUCAACAUCGAAAGCAUAAAAGAAGUCGCGAUAACUCCUACAGUUGGAAUCCUAGAUUCAACCAAACAAUCAAUAGUGGCGUUCAAAGAUCCAAAUAAUCAUAUGGGAAAUCAGCAAGAAUGACUACCAUCCAAAAAUAAUAUGGGGCAAAAAAAGAAUUCACCCGUAGUAAGCACUAGUGGGGGGAAAACAAAUGGCAACACAAAAGGGCAAAAACUCAAUAAAAUAAUUCAG